rnacentral:rRNA from 1 species
UAGCUAGUUGGUAGGGUAAAGGCCUACCAAGGCGACGAUCGGUAGCUGGUCUGAGAGGAUGACCAGCCACACUGGAACUGAGACACGGUCCAGACUCCUACGGGAGGCAGCAGUGGGGAAUAUUGGACAAUGGGGGCAACCCUGAUCCAGCAAUGCCGCGUGUGUGAAGAAGGCCUGAGGGUUGUAAAGCACUUUCGUUAGGGAGGAGUCUGCUUAGGUUAAGAGCUAGAGUAGAGGACGUUACCUUUAGAAGAAGCACCGGCUAACUCCGUGCCAGCAGCCGCGGUAAUACGGAGGGUGCGAGCGUUAAUCGGAAUUACUGGGCGUAAAGGGUGCGUAGGUGGUCUGAUAAGUUAUCUGUGAAAUCCCUGGGCUCAACCUGGGCAGGUCAGAUAAUACUGUUAGACUCGAGUAUGGGAGAGGGUAGUGGAAUUUCCGGUGUAGCGGUGAAAUGCGUAGAGAUCGGAAGGAACACCAGUGGCGAAGGCGGCUACCUGGCCUAAUACUGACACUGAGGCACGAAAGCGUGGGGAGCAAACAGGAUUAGAUACCCUGGUAGUCCACGCUGUAAACGAUGUCAACUAGCUGUUGGUUAUAUGAAUAUAAUUAGUGGCGC